UUCAACUGUGCCUUUUUUUUCUUCUUUUAUUAGGUGGCCAUGUUUCAUGUUUUGCAUCUUCUGUGGUCAAAAUCUGGGGACAGUUCAAGUAUUUUGCUUUUCAUGUGGGAAAAAUUUACAGUUCUUGGCACGAGGUGAAGACAGCGGGUCGGUGCUGGACUCGCUCUCAGAAGAGGAUCUGAUUAAGACUUACUUUUAUGACGGCUACAGUCAUGCAGAAGUUUUGGAUUUCUUGCCAACAGUUCACAAUGUUCAAAUGAGUCUUUCCUCUUUAAAGAGCAAAUUUAAGAAAUUAUCAAUUUUAUGGAAACCAAUGAUGUCAUUCCAGACUGUCUUCUCCUCUAAAAAUUUCCGUAAUUUGUUCUAAUUUUGGUUUAUUACUCCCAGUUCUGGAUUGUUAGAAUGGCCCUUAGCGGCUGGAGGAAGUAGGAGACUUGAGGCAGAGAAACAGUGCAAAUCCCGCUGGGUGUUUAUUCACCAACAUUUAACACACAGACAACCCUGCUAACAGCGGCCWAGGGUYUCAGCAGCAACACWCUUCAAUGUGGCCAACAUGCAGCCUUUUAUAGUAGCUGGCUGUUCCACUUUACAAACCCACCAAAAACAGGGUAAAACAAAAUACAUACACAAACACAGUUUGACAAACUAACACAAUCUUCAGAAUAAUAUACAUUACCAAAUGUUAUUCAUUUUAAUAAUCUCUAAAAACCAAUCUCUAUCAAUCCAAAUAUWAAUCCAACAUUAAAUAUAUAAAAUGUGUAGCUCUACUGCUCCCCCUCUUCCAUCUGCUUUGGUCUCUUCUGGAACCUUUAAAAGGUGCUCAGGCCCCCGGGGAAUCUUUUAGCCUGAACACCCUGCAGAGGAAGAGACAGAGGUAAGCCACACCCACACAAAGCCUUCAAACAUUUCAAACAAUCACAAUACUUAUAUUAUCCCUUUGUUUGUUGUAUUUUAACAGGUCACCAUCAGUUCCAGCUGAGAUGCCACUGCACAAAAACACACAAUCAAUAAAAUACUUCAAUCUGU